AGUAAUACAAAGAAGGAUCGAGUAUGUGACAGACCAUCUUUACAGAGAGGAAUUCUCAGAGGCUGGAAAGAAUUCUAGGUGAAGGGUCACAGAACGCUAGUCCGGAGUGCGGUUUUUAAAACAUCGCCGGGUUUCGCCCCGUUAUAGCGGAACGAAGAGAAUGCUCUUCAUGAAGUGAUGAACCUUUCGUUUAAGGUUCAUAAUCAGGGUGGUACCGCGGAUUCCAACUCUCGUCCCUGCA
rnacentral:ncRNA from 1 species